AUUGAACGCUGGCGGCAGGCCUAACACAUGCAAGUCGAGCGAGCGGCGGACGGGUGAGUAAUGUCUGGGAAACUGCCUUAUGGAGGGGGAUAACUACUGGAAACGGUAGCUAAUACCGCAUACUAUCAGAUGUGCCCAGAUGGGUUUAGCUAGUAGGUGGGGUAACGGCUCACCUAGGCGACGAUCCCUAGCUGGGCGGAGAGGAUGACCAGCCACACUGGAACUGAGACACGGUCCAGAGUCCUACGGGUGGCAGAAGUGGGGAAGAUUGCACAAUGGGCGCAAGCCUGAGAGAGCCAGGCCGGGUGGGUGAAGAAGGCCUUCGGGUUGGAAAGUACUUUCAGCGGGGAGGCGUUACCCGCAGAAGAAGCACCGGCUAACUCCGUGCCAGCAGCCGCGGUAAUUC
rnacentral:rRNA from 1 species